rnacentral:rRNA from 1 species
GACGAACGCUGGCGGCGUGCCUAAUACAUGCAAGUCGAGCGAGCGGAACCAGCAGAUCUGCUUCGGCAGUGACGCUGGGAAAGCGAGCGGCGGAUGGGUGAGUAACACGUGGGGAACCUGCCCCAAAGUCUGGGAUACCACUUGGAAACAGGUGCUAAUACCGGAUAAGAAAGCAGAUCGCAUGAUCAGCUUUUAAAAGGCGGCGUAAGCUGUCGCUAUGGGAUGGCCCCGCGGUGCAUUAGCUAGUUGGUAGAGUAACGGCCUACCAAGGCAAUGAUGCAUAGCCGAGUUGAGAGACUGAUCGGCCACAUUGGGACUGAGACACGGCCCUAACUCCUACGGGAGGCAGCAGUAGGGAAUCUUCCACAAUGGACGCAAGUCUGAUGGAGCAACGCCGCGUGAGUGAAGAAGGUUUUCGGAUCGUAAAGCUCUGUUGUUGGUGAAGAAGAAUAGAGGUAGUAACUGGCCUUUAUUAGACGUAAUCAACCAGAAAGU